ACACGUGGGUAACCUGCCUUAUAGUGGGGGAUAGCCUUUCGAAAGGAAGAUUAAUACCGCAUAAGAUUGUAGUAUCGCAUGAUAUAGCAAUUAAAGGAGCAAUUCGCUAUAAGAUGGACCCGCGUCGCAUUAGCUAGUUGGUGAGGUAAUGGCUCACCAAGGCGACGAUGCGUAGCCGACCUGAGAGGGUGAACGGCCACAUUGGGACUGAGACACGGCCCAGACUCCUACGGGAGGCAGCAAUG
rnacentral:rRNA from 1 species